GCUUAUGCCCUUUACAUAUCAAUUCUCGUCCGAUCACUGAAGUCGAGCAACGUUGGGCACGGUUAGUACUUGGAUGGGUGACCGCUUGGGAAUACCGUGUAAUGUUGUCC
rnacentral:rRNA from 1 species